UCCAGACUCCUACGGGAGGCAGCAGUGGGGAAUAUUGGGCAAUGGGCGCAAGCCUGACCCAGCAAUGCCGCGUGAAGGAAGAAGGCUUUCGGGUUGUAAACUUCUUUGACAGGGGAAGAGCAGAAGACGGUACCCUGAAAACAAGCCACGGCUAACUACGUGCCAGCAGCCGCGGUAAUACGUAGGUGGCAAGCGUUGUCCGGAUUUACUGGGUGUAAAGGGCGUGUAGCCGGGAAGGCAAGUCAGAUGUGAAAUCUGGAGGCUCAACCUCCAAAUUGCAUUUGAAACUGUUUUUCUUGAGUACUGGAGAGGCAGACGGAAUUCCUUGUGUAGCGGUGAAAUGCGUAGAUAUUGGGAGGAACACCAGUGGCGAAGGCGGCCUGCUGGACGACAACUGACGGUGAGGCGCGAAAGCGUGGGGAGCAAACAGGAUUAGAUACCCUAGUAC
rnacentral:rRNA from 1 species